rnacentral:rRNA from 1 species
UACGAAGGGGGCUAGCGUUGCUCGGAAUCACUGGGCGUAAAGCGCACGUAGGCGGACUCUUAAGUCGGUGGUGAAAUCCUGGAGCUCAACUCCAGAACUGCCUUCGAUACUGGGAGUCUCGAGUUCGGGAGAGGUGAGUGGAACUCCGAGUGUAGAGGUGAAAUUCGUAGAUAUUCGCAAGAACACCAGUGGCGAAGGCGGCUCACUGGCCCGAUACUGACGCUGAGGCACGAAAGCGUGGGGAGCAAACAGG